AUUGCUUCAUUUUGCUUCAUUGUUGCGGCUUCUCCAGCGUCUGGAGCAGACCAGCAGCGAUGGAAACAAUGUAUCACUGUGCUCUGGUCACAGAAAAGAGAAAAAGGCCUAACAUAGAGAGGUCCAAACCCAGGCAGUCCUGGGCCAGAACCCAACCUGCUGUUUUAAUGAUCACCACACCUCUGACACUAACCACCUCUAUACUGUUGUGUUGGAAAGAGUGAACAGAUGGCAAGAGAAGGAGAAGAAGCUUUCCCACAGUGCUCACCUCUGGCAGCCUCUCUGAUGAUGUCACACCGCCAACGGACUAGAACCUGGGAAUGAGGAGUUUAGUUCCCAUCUGCCCUCCAGUCUCUUCUGCAUACAAGCCAAAGGUCUCAGAGAGCACCAGGGCAUUACCUCAUUCCAAAGCGCUCACCUAGAUACCCAACCAGAGUUUCUGUACUUUCGGACUUGGACCAUGGGACCUCACCCCUGGCUACAGGCCAGUUCCUUUGCAGCAUCCAAACUGUCCAAAAUAAAACAUCGCCAGGACUCUUUCAUCUGGGUCGCAUGAAUUGA